GACGGAGGGUGCAAGCGUUGCUCGGAAUCACUGGGCGUAAAGGGUGCGUAGGCGGUCUCGCAAGUCUGGCGUGAAAGCCCAAGGCUCAGCCUUGGAAGUGCGCUCGAAACUGCGAGGCUGGAGUGCCGGAGGGGAGAGUGGAAUUCCCGGUGUAGCGGUGAAAUGCGCAGAUAUCGGGAAGAACACCCGUGGCGAAGGCGGUUCUCUGGGACGGUACUGACGCUGAGACGCGAAAGCGUGGGGAGCGAACAGG
rnacentral:rRNA from 1 species